UCAGUUCAAGAUUGUGGAGGACAAUGUGCCAGAACGUCAAAUUGUGACUCCUUUUCUUAUCAACCCAAGACGAACCCCGGGGAAUGUUAUUUGUAUCGGAAGAGAGUUUGGGCAGGACAGACACCUGCGGUUUAUAGAGAAGGCUUGGUGACAUAUUGGCGAUUAGCAGAUCGCUGCCCAUCAGAAUACAUUUUGAAUACAACUUACAAUAUAUGUUUCAAGGCCUAUAUUAAUAUAGGAGACGAGACGUCUUGGUCCCGAGCUAUGACACGAUGUGAGGAUGAUGGCGGAUAUCUGUUUAUUGGUCAUUCUAUGAACAGAUUACAAAUGGUGGCUGAUUUUGUCAAGACUUUGAAAGUGUACAGUCGCUUGACAUAUUUUGGUGGUACUGAUAUAUAUGUAGAAGGAAAUUGGGAAUGGAUCGAUGGCUCUACUACAUUUAAUUGGGCUCUGCCUCAACCUGACGUCUACGACGGAGAGGAUUGUGGUGCUG